CGAAGGUUGAGAAGAGCUUCUGUGAUCCUGUCUGAAGCUAAGACUGUUUCCUGGGCAACAGCUCUCCAAAUUUGUAACACCCUGAGCGGCUCUGCUGGCCAACCAGAUGUCCCGCUGUUUCUGUACCAACAUGAUGAGCCAAGGCCUUUCAGGAAACUGGAGCCUGCAUGGAAUUGGUUGCCAC